rnacentral:rRNA from 1 species
CCUACGGGAGGCAGCAGUGAGGAAUAUUGGUCAAUGGACGCAAGCCUGAACCAGCCAUGCCGCGUGCAGGAUGACGGCUCUAUGAGUUGUAAACUGCUUUUGUACGAGGGUAAACCCCGAUACGUGUAUCGGGUUGAAAGUAUCGUACGAAUAAGGAUCGGCUAACUCCGUGCCAGCAGCCGCGGUAAUACGGAGGAUCCGAGCGUUAUCCGGAUUUAUUGGGUUUAAAGGGUGCGUAGGCGGUUUGAUAAGUUAGAGGUGAAAUGUCGGGGCUCAACCCCGAAACUGCCGCUAAUACUGUUGGACUAGAGAAUAGUUGCGGUAGGCGGAAUGUAUGGUGUAGCGGUGAAAUGCUUAGAGAUCAUACAGAACACCGAUUGCGAAGGCAGCUUACCAAACUAUAUCUGACGUUGAGGCACGAAAGCGUGGGUAGCAAACAGGAUUAGAUACCCUUGUAGUC